GGCGCAUGGUGGCUUAGUGGUUAGCACUUUUGCCUCACACCUCCAGGGUCCGGGGUUCGAUUCCCGCCGGGGCCA